GAUUAAAAUUGCCCCAAGGAGUUAUUUUUCUUGGAAGAUUAACAUGACAGUGAUAUCAGGUGCGUGGCUCAUAAUUGGAAGCUUAUAUCUGCCCGCUAGUUCUGGAUGAUGAUGGAGCAAAUUGGCAGGAUGAGCGCUUAGGUCCAUUGAUAACUUCUAUGUGCAAGCAGCAGCAAGCUAGUCAGAUACAACAUGUCCAUCAAAUUUUGUUCAUCUGCAGUCUCAUUCUCUUUGGUAGAUGGAUAUUCCUGCAAUCCAUGUGGAAUGCAGAAGCUUUUAAGAGAACUAGUUUCCAGCUUGCAGUGAUGUUGACUGCCAGAGAAAAAUCUCACGGGCCUAAGAGUGCGGUAAAGUUGCUAAGGCGCAAUCCCAUUAUACCCAAGUACUUAGGUAUCACGGAUGUUCCAAGAAAUCAUGAAGAACUUGCUAGUCCUUCCUGAUCGAUCCCAAGAGCAAAGUAGGUCCUUGCCAACAAUAUUCGAAGACAGCGCGGUAUGGGAAUAUGAUUGGCAGAUUUCUACAUCACAGUAGCAGCAGCACUGCAUGCAUCGAUGCAACCGUGCACUAGAUACAAUCACUUGUAUGCCAUGUCUAACCAGAUUUGGCACAAUAAUUAUUUCUCUGUCAAAGUAUGGAGAUCUGUAUCUCAGUUUGAUCAAGCAAAAUGGGAAACAUGAUAAAUUUUUUCUUUUUCAAAUGAACCAAAAUGAAUGGGCUUAAAUGGUUCAUGAAGAUUUUCUAAAGUUUGAGUUG